AGAGUUUGAUCAUGGCUCAGGAUUAACGNNAGUAUGCCUAACACAUGCAAGUCGAGCGGAAAGUAGUAGCAAUAUUGCUUUUAGCGGCGAACGGGUGAGUAAUGCUUAUCUAACUUGCCAAUUAGUGGGGGAUAACCAGAGGAAACUUUGGCUAAUACCGCAUUUGUUGCUUCGGCAAUGAAAGGGGAUCGCAAGAUCUUCGCUAAUUGAGAGGGAUGAGUCGCAUCAGUUAGUUGGUGGGGUAAUGGCCUACCAAGACUAUGACGCGUAGCCAGGCUGAGAGGCUGAUUGGCCACAAGGAACUGAGACACGGUCCUACUCCCAAGGGAGGCAGCAGUGAGGAAUUUUCCGCAAUGGGGGCAACCCUGACGGAGCAAUACUACGUGAAGGAGGAAGGUCUACGGAUUGUAAACUUCUGUUAGUGCAGAAGAAGGACUGAAUGCAAGUUCAGUUUUGACAGUAUGCGCAGAGAAAGCCACGACUAACUACGUGCCAGCAGUCGCGGUAAGACGUAGGUGGCGAACGUUAUCCGGAAUUAUUGGGCGUAAAGGGUGCGUAGGCGGCAUGAUAAGUUAUUGGCGGCAAAUCGAGGCUCAACCUCGUGGAAACUGAUAAUACUGUCUUGCUUGAGUGCAGAAGAGGUUAACGGAACUCCAUGUGGAGCGGUAAAAUGUGUAGAUAUAUGGAAGAACAUCAAUAACGGCGAAGGCAGUUAACUAUUCUGUUACUGACGUUGAGGCACGAAAGCGUGGGGAGCAAAAAGGAUUAGAUACCCUAGUAGUCC
rnacentral:rRNA from 1 species